rnacentral:miRNA from 1 species
UUUAUACAGACGUCCAAUGAUAGG